AGUCAACAACACAUGGGACAUUGAUGCUUGUUGUAUGCCAUCUCCUCUAUAGGAUUUAGGGAUAAUGGUCCAUGAUACUACUUGAUUAUGUUGUUCCUAAGCCAAUGACCCGAUGUACCGAACCCAGAGUUUGCUGAUCUCGAAAUGCGAUUACAAGAAGCAUGGAAGAUAUGGAUCUUAAUUAGAAUGAUAAUAUUGCAGAUUUACAACAUUCGCACAAGGUGUUUGAAUUGCUAAGGGAAAAAAACUAAAAAGAAAAUUGGGAGCUUUAAACCAGGUUGGUGGCCGCUAUGCUAUUAAAUAUUGAGAGCAGCCACCGUAUGUUGAAAAUUAAGUUAGGCAGGAAGAAUAGAGGUUUUCUCAGUAUUAGCUAGCUGUUCUAAUGACCUUUCUUUAUUUGUUAAUUCGUAAUAAUCAAGCAAAUUGUACGCCAUAAACAAUUCAGAAUAAGCCAAUCGUAUAUGAUAAAAGUAAAUCCUACACAUGGAGUAAAGAAAGAGAUUUUAGUUUGCGAGAAAUCAUAUAUAAUUCAUCAAAGGCAAUGUAAUAAAGUUUCUCUAGGAAAAUUAUAUAAUAUGCAUCGAUGAAAUCACUUUGCU
rnacentral:lncRNA from 1 species